rnacentral:rRNA from 1 species
GAUGAACGCUGGCGGCGUGCCUAAUACAUGCAAGUCGAGCGAACAGACGAGGAGCUUGCUCCUCUGACGUUAGCGGCGGACGGGUGAGUAACACGUGGAUAACCUACCUAUAAGACUGGGAUAACUUCGGGAAACCGGAGCUAAUACCGGAUAAUAUAUUGAACCGCAUGGUUCAAUAGUGAAAGACGGUUUUGCUGUCACUUAUAGAUGGAUCCGCGCCGCAUUAGCUAGUUGGUAAGGUAACGGCUUACCAAGGCGACGAUGCGUAGCCGACCUGAGAGGGUGAUCGGCAACACUGGAACUGAGACACGGUCCAGACUCCUACGGGAGGCAGCAGUAGGGAAUCUUCCGCAAUGGGCGAAAGCCUGACGGAGAAACGCCGCGUGAGUGAUGAAGGUCUUCGGAUCGUAAAACUCUGUUAUUAGGGAAGAACAAAUGUGUAGGUAACUAUGCACGUCUUGACGGUACCUAAUCAGAAAGCCACGGCUAACUACGUG